rnacentral:lncRNA from 10 species
GGUCAGCUUUCUAAAAACCUCCCUCCUUCUCUACCUCUGCCUCCUACCCCAAACCCCCGCUGCUGGCCUCCUUAGAGCCAAAAAAUUCCAGGAGGAAUUUUUUCUUUCAGUUUCAUUUCUCGCCAGGAUUCCACUUUUGCUUUACCCUCUUCCAAUCAAACUCCACGCCUCCACCCGAGGCGCCACGGGUAGAAAGAAGUGGAAAGGCUACCUGCAUCAUUUGGUCACACUCAGCCAUUUCACAGAUGCAGAGACAGACCCAGUGGGGCUAGGGCAGGAAGGUGGAGAAAGAUUGGUUCCUGGUAACUGAACUAGGGGUGAAGCCCUGCCCCGGGCUCCUGAGUGGCAGGGAAAUUCACAGCGCAAUUCGGAUUGCACAGAGGCUGCUGUGAGGAAGGAAGUGGGGCACUUUCAACAAGCCUGCGGGCCAUAGAGGACCACAAGUGAGUCGGGAUUGAGAGGGACACCGACCUCAGACUAAAUCAGAGUCAGCCUCAGAACUCCUAAGCACCAGCCCCACCCUGACCUAGGAGCCCGGGGGAUCUGGCCUCUGCUCUCCUCUGAUCUCAUCUCAGCCCCAUGUUCACUCAAGUCCAGCCAGCCGGCCUCCCAGGUUCCCCUUCCAUGCUAAGCUCCUCCCUGCCUCAGGGCCUUUGUCUUUGCUGACCCCUCUGCCAUAACUGCUCUCCCUCCAUAUCCUUGCAUGGCUGGCUGCUUCUCUUUAUUGAGGUUUCAGCAUAUAUGUCUCCUUUGUAGGGACCUUCCCUGAUUUUCCCAUCUAAGUAGUUUCCUACUGGAUUCUCAGCAUCCCCCAUCACAUUGUCUUGUUUUAAUGUCUUCAGAGCACAUAUUACUUGUUCAGUUAGCACCAGUAGAAUAGGCCCUCCAUCAGAUCAGAGACCUUUUCUAACUCUUCACUGUUUUAUUCUCAAUGGCUUCCCAGUGCUUGGCAAAUAGUAGGUGCUCAAUAAGUAUUGCCUGAAUCAAUGAAUGGAAAGAGUGUCCCAAGGCAAAAUUUGUAAGAAUAAUAAUAUCAGGAAAGCUAAAGCUAAAUAAACUGAGUCUCACAAAAGCUAUAGAUACCAGCAAAAAAAGCACUAUAGAUACCAGCAAAAAAGCGAGGGAUUUUUUGUUGUUGUUGUUUGUUUGUAUGUUUGUUUUGAGACGAAGUCUCACUCUGUCGCCCAGGCUGCCAUGCAGUGGCACAAUCUCGGCUCACUGCAACCUCCACUUCCUGAGUUCAAGCAAUUCUCCUGCCUCAGCCUUCUGAGUAGCUGGGAUUACAAGCGCGUGCCAUCACGCCUGGCUAAUUUUUGUAUUUUCAGUAGAGAUGGGAUUUCACCAUGUUGGUCAGGCUAGUCUCAAACUCCUGACCUCAUGAUCCACCUGCUUCGGCCUCCCAAAGUCCUGGGAUUACAGUUGUGGGCCACUGUAAGUUUUUAACAUGUUAGAGAAGCCAGGCCAAGAGGAUGGUGAGAAAGCAAAGCCCUCCAUCCCAGGUCUUCCUGCAGUCACUGCAGUCAGGACCAUGUGCUCUCGUGAGGUGGGCAGAGCCUGGAGGAGAGAAGAGGAGACUUCAAUGGAGCUGCACCAUCCCUCGACUUGGAGGAAGCUUAGGUCAUCAGCUGUGACGGUAUGGUGACGAAGUUCAGAUCACAUCAGAUCCAGCUCCUUCCUCUCUUGGCAAGAUCACUAGGCUGGCAGAUGAGCUCAGACUUAGCCCAGAGAGCUGAGUCUUACCCAGAGAGCUGAGAGAGUGCUGGCCUGCCAUCGGUGAUGUUCAGCGGGUGGUAGAUGAAGGGAAAGGCUUCUAAAAGCAGUGUGGCCUGCAGAGAAAAACCCAGGAGAGGAAAGUAGCAAAGAAAAGAGGAGUGCAGCAUCUUUUUUUUUUUUUUUUUUUUUUUUUUUGAGACAGAGUCACACUCUGUUGGCCAGCCUGGAGUGCAGUGGCACGAUCUCGGCUCACUGCAACCUCUGCCUCCCAGGCUCAAGCAAUUCUCCUGCCUCAGCCUCCUGAGUAGCUGGGAUUACAGGCGUGUGCCACCACGCCCGGCUAAUUUUUGUGUUUUUUAGUGGAGAUGGGGUUUCACCAUGUCAGCCAGGCUGGUCUCAAAUGCCUGACCUCAGGUAAUCCAUCUGCCUUGGCCUUCAAAAGUGCUGGGAUUACAGGUGUGAGCUACCGCACCCAGCCCAGCGUCUUUCUUACUGCCCAGCCUCCAUCUCCAAGGUACCAGGGGGCCAGGUGCUGGGCUGGUUCACUGGGGAAAGUCCUGGGGACACAUUUAGCUGGGGAGAAGGUAGGGGUGACUUGCCUCUUGCAGAUAGGGGAAGUAAUGUUCCAAAAGCGGACAUGACUGUCACCCAGGGCACGAGUCACAACACUGAUGACCAGUGGGAGGGAGCUGGAGAGCAGAAUCUUAGAACUGAGGAGCCCCAGAGCUGGUGGGCCAUGGCCGUGACCCACAGGUCUAUGUGGUUUGGCUCUGAUAGUGUUUAGUUACAUGGUGUUUAGUUUUUGUUGUAGCUUCUGUUACUGUUUCUCUUUUUAUUUUUUUAUUUUUAUUUUUUUUUGAGAUGGAGUCUCACUGUGUCACCCAGGCUGGAGGCUGGAGUGCAGUGGGGUGACCUCGGCUCACUGCAACCUCCGAAUCCUGGGUUCAAGAGAUUCUCGUGCCUCAGCCUCCCGAGUAGCUGGGACUACAGGUGCCCGCCACCGUGCCCAGCUAAUUUUUGUAUUUUUAGUAGAGAAGGGGUUUCGCCAUGGUGGCCAGGCUGGCCUCAAACUCCUGACCUCAAGUGAUCCACCUACCUCGGCCUCCCAGAGUGCUGGGAUUAU